rnacentral:rRNA from 1 species
GAAGCAACGCGAAGAACCUUACCAGGCCUUGACAUCCAAUGAACUUUCUAGAGAUAGAUUGGUGCCUUCGGGAACAGUGAGACAGGUGCCGCAUGGCUGUCGUCAGUUCGUGUCGUGAGAUGUUGGGUUAAGUCCCGUAACGAGCGCAACCCUUGUCCUUAGUUACCAGCAGUGUAAGGGUGGGCACUCUAAGGAGACUGCCGGUGACAAACCGGAGGAAGGUGGGGAUGACGUCAGGUCCUCAUGGCCCUUAUGGGUAGGGCUACACACGUCAUACAAUGGCCGGUACAGAGGGCUGCCAACCCGCGAGGGGGAGCCAAUCCCAGAAAACCGGUCGUAGUCCGGAUCGCAGUCUGCAACUCGACUGCGUGAAGUCGGAAUCGCUAGUAAUCGCGGAUCAGCUUGCCGCGGUGAAUACGUUCCCGGGUCUUGUACACACCGCCCGUCACACCAUGGGAGCGGGUUCUGCCAGAAGUGGUUAGCCUAACCGCAAGGGGGGCGAUUACCACGGCAGGGUUCGUGACUGGGGUGAAGUCGUAACAAGGUAACCGU